GACGAACGCUGGCGGCGUGCCUAAUACAUGCAAGUUGAGCGCUGAAGGUUGGUACUUGUACCAACUGGAUGAGCAGCGAACGGGUGAGUAACGCGUGGGGAAUCUGCCUUUGAGCGGGGGACAACAUUUGGAAACGAAUGCUAAUACCGCAUAAAAACUUUAAACACAAGUUUUAAGUUUGAAAGAUGCAAUUGCAUCACUCAAAGAUGAUCCCGCGCUGUAUUAGCUAGUUGGUGAGGUAAAGGCUCACCAAGGCGAUGAUACAUAGCCGACCUGAGAGGGUGAUCGGCCACAUUGAGACUGAGACACGGCCCAAACUCCUACGGGAGGCAGCAGUAGGGAAUCUUCGGCAAUGGACGAAAGUCUGACCGAGCAACGCCGCGUGAGUGAAGAAGGUUUUCGGAUCGUAAAACUCUGUUGGUAGAGAAGAACGUUGGUGAGAGUGGAAAGCUCAUCAAGUGACGGUAACUACCCAGAAAGGGACGGCUAACUACGUG
rnacentral:rRNA from 1 species